rnacentral:lncRNA from 10 species
GAUUAUAGAUCCAGACUCCUGUGCCUGACCACUGCCCAUGGCCAACUCUCUGCUGAUGACUGGACUUGACUACACAAGUUGUUGGCCAUCUUAAAACCACUCAAAGUUGACGGUCUCCUCUCCUGCCUCCUGCGGCUUCCAUUACCAUGGCAGAGACUGUGGUGUCUGAGGUGGUGUAGCGUACUGAAGCAAGGCUGUCUUGAAGAAGAGGAGACAACUCACAAUUCUACCACCUUUGUUGACCUCUUCUUCCCCCCAACUUAUUGCUGUAGAGGCUACCUGAGCUCAUUGUCCCUGGAGAUGGACCAAAUAGAAGAAUAAGCAGUGCCUGUGUGGUGAGCUUCAAGAGGCAUCUGUUCUCUGGGGAGUGGGUGGGUGGUAAAGCAAAGACGGGAGAUGUGUAUAUUAGCUAUCCAUUACUGUAUAAUUAAUUAUACACAAAACUAAACUAUACACUAAACUAAAACUUCACAGCUUAAAACAGGAAAUAUGUAUUAUCUCACACAAUUUCUGAGAGUCAGGAAUCUGAAAAUGGCUUAGCUAGUUUGGUUCUGGCUCAGGGUGACCUAUGGAGUUGCAGCCAAGAUG